UUCAUUUGAAGAUAUAAAUGAUUUAGCCUGCUCACUGAGAUGUAUAAAUUAAAGAGCCGCGGUAUAUUGACCGUGCAAAGGUAGCAUAAUCAUUAGGGGUUUAAUUGGAACCUGGAAUGAAAGGUUGGACGAAGGAAAAACUGUCUUUAAAAGUGUAUAGUAAUUGAAAUUUACUUUUAAGUGAAAAGGCUUAAAUAUUCCGAGGGGACGAUAAGACCCUAUAAAGCUUUAUAAGUUGGGUUAAAUUUGACUGAUUUAUAAUAAAAGUUAGAUUUGCUUGUCUUAUUUUAUUGGGGCGAUAAGAGUAUAAUUUAUUGUAACUGCUUAAGAGGAAAUACAACUAUAAGUGAUUGAAAUUAAUGAGGAUCCUUUUUAGAGAUUAAGAGACUAAGUUACUUUAGGGAUAACAGCGUUAUUCUUUUUGAGAGCUCAUAUCGAAAAAGGAGUUUGCGACCUCGAUGUUGAAUUAAAAUGUCUAUAUAAUGCAGCAGUUAUAUAAGAAGGUCUGUUCGACCUUUAAAUUUUU
rnacentral:rRNA from 1 species